rnacentral:rRNA from 1 species
GCAUAUCAAUAAGCGGAGGAAAAGAAACCAACAGGGAUUGCCCUAGUAACGGCGAGUGAAGCGGCAAUAGCUCAAAUUUGAAAGCUGGCUUAUGGCCCGCAUUGUAAUUUGUAGAGGAUGCUUUUAGGCAGCCGCCGGUCUAAGUUCCUUGGAACAGGACGUCAUAGAGGGUGAGAAUCCCGUAUGUGACCGGCUCUGGCACCUUAUGUAAAGCUCCUUCGACGAGUCGAGUUGUUUGGGAAUGCAGCUCUAAAUGGGAGGUAAAUUUCUUCUAAAGCUAAAUACUGGCGAGAGACCGAUAGCGCACAAGUAGAGUGAUCGAAAGAUGAAAAGCACUUUGGAAAGAGAGUUAAAAAGCACGUGAAAUUGUUGAAAGGGAAGCGCUUGCAAUCAGACUUGGACUUGGCUGUUCAACAGGUCUUCUGACCUGCCUAUUCAGUCUUGUCCAGGCCAGCAUCAGUUUCGGCGGCCGGAUAAAGGCCCUGGGAAUGUGGCUUCUCCUUCGGGGGAAGUGUUAUAGCCCAGGGUGUAAUACGGCCAGCUGGGACUGAGGUCCGCGCUUCGGCUAGGAUGCUGGCGUAAUGGUUGUAAGCGGCCCGUCUUGAAACACGGACCAAGGAGUCUAACAUCUAUGCGAGUGUUAGGGUGUCAAACCCUUACGCGUAAUGAAAGUGAACGGAGGUGAGAACCCGCAAGGGUGCAUCAUCGACCGAUCCUGAUGUCUUCGGAUGGAUUUGAGUAAGAGCAUAGCUGUUGGGACCCGAAAGAUGGUGAACUAUGCCUGAAUAGGGUGAAGCCAGAGGAAACUCUGGUGGAGGCUCGCAGCGGUUUCUGACGUGCAAAUCGAUCGUCAAAUUUGGGGGUAUAGGGGCGAAAGACUAAUCGAACCAUCUAGUAGCUGGUUCCUGCCGA